UACAACUUUCAACAACGGAUCUCUUGGCUCUCGCAUCGAUGAAGAACGCAGCGAAAUGCGAUACGUAAUGUGAAUUGCAGAAUUCAGUGAAUCAUCGAAUCUUUGAACGCACAUUGCACUCUCUGGUAUUCCGGAGAGUAUGCUUGUUUGAGUAUCAGUAA
rnacentral:rRNA from 1 species